UUUUUCUAAAUUGUACAAGGACAUUUAUACUCCCUCCUCAUGCAUCUUUUUUUUUUUUGUUUUGACCUGUGAAUAUAAAUAAUACAAAUGAUUGUGCAAUAUUUAUUCUCCAAUUUUAGUUUCAAUUACAUAGGAACAUUUCAAAAAAAGGUGGCAUCUCUUCACUGAACUUUUUAAAAAGUGUUCAAGCGGUGUCAUAGAAGACCAAGAGAACGACAUAGGAACACAUAGGAGUAAUGUAGAGAGACACUGAAAAGCAUGUGUAUGUAAGUGUGUUACUUUGCUUUGGUUUGUAUUUGAAGACUUGAAGGGAUGGACAUCAUAACCGAUGAAUUUAUGGGUAAAGAAUUCUGUCUGGUACUUCUGAAAAAACUAUUGUCCCAUUGAAAUUAUAUUUCAAAAAAAUACAUUAAAUCCCCCUCAAUCAAAUGUCGUCGAUGCCCAUCCUGAGUCGACGGCGAAUAUUGACGUAGCAUGUGCGCAACCGAACGUGAGGAAAUGAACACACGCCUGCGGAAAGCCGUUGGAAGGUGUAUCCCAUAUGUCUGUUCUGUUUCACACUCCUACACAACUUUGGCAAUACCAGUCGGCCAGCUGCAGGUUAGUCUUGACGCAAAACUGCACUAGUUGACGUCUGUGCGCUUCUAGUACAUUUCCUUGUCUAAUUUGUAACCUCACGAAUAAUACGAGUAACACGCAGUUGUCAACUAGUGCGCAGUUUACAGAGAGGGGGACUAGUAUACACUCAAUCGGGCUUUCCAUACACUCCUUGAUAUUACAGAAUUAAUUUCACUUGUGGUUUUUUUUUUUUGUUUUUGUUUACAGAUUUCAUGUAACAUUGAUAAUGUGUGAUGCAGUAAAUGCAUAUAUAUGGUUCUGAAGAAAUGCAUAUUUUAAUUCAUGUACAUGAUUUACUGCCGUUUUUUUGUGGCAUAAUGCCAGGGAACAAAAAAAAAUGUAUUGGUAUCAUGGAAUGAAUUUCUGACAUUUUAGCACCCAGGAAUGCAACUUAUGUUUUCUAUAUAUUUGCUUCUAUAUUCUUGUUGCCUUCUGACACGUGAGCUUGUCUUUGGGGCUCCUACGAAUGUGACAUCAGAAGUCCAAUUUCUUUUCAAGCUCACGUUCUUUAUAAGUACAUUUUAUGUCGAAUAAAAAUGUGUGUACGUACACAAUUGAAGACUCUCCACUAACAACCCAGGCUAAACUUAGCUCCACCCCCCGCGCAAAUCUCAAUCGAGAUUUAAGACUUCACCAUAGUGAAAAUAGGAGGUCAAUAAGUAAAAGAGCAAUUGAUGCCCACCCCAAAAAUGGAUUCUCUGUAAUUGCCUCACAUUGGCAGCAAAAUACUUUUAUCUAAAUGAAGCGCCUUAAUUCACUGAAAAUUGUUUCAUUGUCACCAAGAUGGCCGCAUCUUGGAGUGUUAGAGAAAGAGUCCCAAAAAUAUAACGAGUUCAAUUUUCAGGAUAUAAUGGAGCAUUGACUAAAAAAAUAAUAAUAAUUUAUGAAUAAUGAAUAAGCAGAUGAUUGCUGUACAGUAUUUAAUAGUCCGCUUUCUUAAUGUCUGGGGGCAGGGAAGGGGUCCCCUCAAACAAGUGUCUCCUUCCUUAUUUCUGUGAUUUGGCUUUGAAUAUUAUGGAAUAAAAUGUUUAAAAGUUUGUGUUGUAAA